AAUUAUGAAGUUUACUUAAUACUUGCACAGGCUGGGCUAUCAAAAUCGUUACCAACUUAGCUUGGUCUGACUCUACAUGUAUGUCAUUCGCGUCUUAUGGCGUCUUUACUUUCAAUUCAGUUUUGGCGGUGUGGUGGAAAUACUACAUAGACAUGGCCACAUACUUACAUAUUUAUAUGAACUGUUGAAAUCUUAUUUUAAGCUGUCACGUAGUCAGGUAACUGCUAAUUAAUAUGGUCGUGGUCAUACUAGUAGAUAUCUGGAUCGGAGUCGAUCGUCGGUUCUUCCUCGACCAAGCACCUGCCAACAAGAAAUUGCCGCCAAACAGUCUAGGCGACCAUCUGCUACUCUAUAUCUAACGAAUUCAUUAAACUUACCUACUUUAUAUUCAUCAACAAAUAUCUGGUUUAUAAAUCAGACUUUACUACAUUUAUAAACCAGAUAUUUUGCAUACUAAACGCUUCAAGCAGAUCCCAUUUCAAUAAAAUUAGCAUCUGGCCGUACCAUACGAGUAUAUGUAUAGACGUAAAUAGUUAGCUGGCUGACCUAUUAAACCAAAAUGAGAAACCUUGAAAAUACUAAUGAGACGGAUUUUAUCGUUGUUGAAAUUAUAAACAACAGUUUUCAACAUAUUGACAAGGCACCAGCCUAAGUACCUAAGAACAAAUGUAUAGUAAGACCAUUUUUAAAAUGCACAAGCCUAUAAGGGUUUGGAAUUGGCUCUUAGGACAAUCAAAACAGAUUUUUUUAAAGAAUGAAUUUCCAGCAAGCUGGAAAUAAUUUUAAUACACUCAUUUGGUGCUCAAUGCGUGUAAUCCGUCGUUGCGCAGUCCCAGAAGGUGAGCAAAUAUGUUUGAUUCAGUUUUUUGCUUGUAGCUCGAAAACGGUACGUCUGACGGAAAAUCGGAAAGGUACCUUAAUAUGAAUUCUUCGUCAAAGUUGUACAAAAUGGCCGCUAUUUUAAAUUUCUUUAUUUUUGACAGAGUCUGAACCAAGGCAGCGUGAUAGCCCGGAAUGUCUGGACUACUUUACGUUUACUUAACACUUGCACUACGUCAUAAUGUCAUAGAAGAUUGACGUUUAAAAUUACACGUGCACCAUGCUUGGUCUGACUAUAGAGUCAACCAUUUCACCAGUGUCUUACCACAAAACCUUGCUAUUAGUGAUUGUUGGUUCCUUCUACAUCGAGUAGUUUGGCAAUCCAGGGAAAAAUGUAUCUCCUAAGGUCCCAAAAAUUAUGCACACCCCCUGAGAUUGCGCAAACUCGGUCUACGCGCAUUUCGGAUCAAAUUAAGGUAUAGAAACGAUUACCAGCUUGCUGGGAAUUCAUUACUGAAAACACUUUUAUUUGAUCUAAUUUCAUUGGUGGCUCUUCUAAUAUUUAUUAGAGAAGAUCUGUCGUAUCUGGAUCAUGAUCCGAAUAGUUCCAUUCAUACUGAUCGGAUCCUGAGGGCCUACCGCGAACCACGUUCGACAUGUUGCCUCUCUGUCGCACUUGUAAAUUCGCACGUAAGUGUAACAGGGAGGCAACACGUCGAACGUGGCUCGUGGUAGGCCCUCUGGUUCCAAACACUAACCACGUCUAAUCGAUACAUUUAGAUGUGAACAUAAAAACAUUAGAGGAGUGACAUUUUAAGAUUGUUUAAACUCUAAAAGCAGAAGUACCCUUUACGGAUUUACUAAGAUUUUUGUAGUCGAAUAAUAAACGCCACCCCAGCAGUCAGUUGUAAUUGUAAUAUUUCAGCUUGAGGUCUUCUUCUUCUCUAAGAUGCAGAGCUCCGUUGUAAUAAUAAUAAUAAGCCCCCAGGGCAGCUUGUGGCGAGCUGAAUGGGAAGUGACGUCCCUUGGGUCCCGUACCCCCGAGAGUCGGCCAGGUCCCUCUCCGGCUUGCCUUGAUUGGCCGGCUGGAGUGAACACUGAGCAGGGGACGCGGGACUCUCACCUCUGGCUUGCCUUUACCGGCCGUCCAGAGUGGGGUGUCAGAGCUAUAAGCUCGCAGGGUGGAAGUGAAAUUUGCAUAAGACGCGAGUUGGCACAGUGGCUGCUUACAGCCACUGGGUAGAAAGCGGCGUACACCUCUCCACACCCUGAGCCGCUCACGCAAUGUUGUCCCCUUGUCGCUCCGUGCGAGCGGCCGUUUUCGGGGACCCAUAUUGUGAGUUGGCAAGUCACCACCUGCCCAUUUUGUCGUGUUUUUAAAAACAUAUGAUCAGGGCAGGUGCCAUAGUAUUCUCCAUAGUCUCGGUUACCAGUCCACUUGCAACUCAACCCAAUAGCCCGGUUUAUUUUGGUACCCUUUUUUUUACAAUAGUCCUACAAUAACCGGGGCUUGUCCUUGGGUGCACUGCUAUAGUGUGAACAGGGAUAAUCGUCGGUUGGUGUCACGUUACAUUUAGAGUAAAUUGUCUUAUUACAAGGGGCCUCUACGUGUUGGCUUCGGCCCCACGCACGCCUUUCAAAUGUCCGAGAUCCCAUGGUCCCGAGAAUUUGUAAAAGACAGACAAUAAUAAUAAUAAAAUACUUUAUUGUGCACUACAAAGAAAUAUACAUGUUACAAACAAAAAAAAAGGACAUAAGUAAGUAGGUAACAACAGGCGGACUUAUCGCUAAAAAGCGAUCUCUUCCACUUUGUACUUAGUUUAUAGGUUCUAAAGUAUAAUGUUAUCAUUCAAACAUUUUCAGGUGUAACUGUGUAUUAUAGAAAUCAGUAGAGUGAUAUAUUUUCAAAUAAGCAUCAUGUCCCUUAGGUAGGUACUUGUGGUUGGAAACUAAUCGUAGCUGCAGUAGUUAGCUUGUAAGUACUGCGUAGUAGGUGGUUGUUACCUACCUGUAUUAAUUAUUGCUGAGCGGUAAUUGGCCCUGCGUCGCUGCACCGGCGCUGUUGUUUCUGCGGCCAUCGAUGCGCCUACACAAUGUAUAGUAUCACGUCUAAUUAACUUGUUGUUGUUACCUACGUACUGUAGAUUGCUGAUACAAUCAUGUGUUAACAUAUCAUGCUUAUUAGCGCAUACACACACUGACCUACUUAUUACAGACUUCAUUUACAAAAAUUGCACCAUGUAAAAUUAUUAGGCGGUGUUAAAAACUUCAUCCUUAUUUUUAAUUUCUUGUAUUCUAUUUCUUACAAAUUUUUAUUUAGAAGCUAGACAUUUUACUACAUGCAAUUCUGUCAACUGUACUCUAUGGUCUCUCCCCGACGUAUAAACCGCGUUAGUGUCACUGACGUCACUGUUACAAAAGUGAUUUUGACACCAACGAACUGGCCCAAUCUGUAGUGCCCGUAAGGCCAGUCUAUGAGUGCGGGUUGUCUUUUAGGUUUUUAGAAGGGCACGGUGCGUUUAGUGUCGCAAGGCUAGAUUGUCGCUUAAUCGAAUGUAUGUAGAUAAUUGAAUCGAGCAAAGCUGUUGGUAACUUGUUAUAAUGCCUAAUAACGAGCAUAAUAUGCAAAUAUAUGAAGGUUGAAGAAAAUCUGGAUCCGUGCUUGUACUAUAAUCGGAAUCGGUACUGAACGGAUAAUCGCGUCGUCGCGUAGUGGACUGCGAGGCAUGUGCAGUCGCUGGACUAUCUGCCACUUCACACUUCACUUCAUCCCGUGCUUUCAAUGUACGCUACUGUACUUGCCGAAUUAGAGUUCGCCCUUUUUAGGAUAAACUUGACUACAAAAGCAUUCAAAAGCACUUGUCUAUUACCUGCGUGUUUGUGUCAGGUGCUUGGUCAGGUGUAUGAUUAGCAAUGUACCCGUCCAAUAUGUGAAUGAACAGAAUAUAAACCACAACCAGAAAUUAGGUUCCAUUCUGGUUAACUUCCAGAAACAGGACAAGAUCUUUUUCUAUGUCUCUAUGACGCAUUUAUGUGAUUUCCUUAUCAAUUACUAAAAUGUACGAUGUAAGUUAUAACAUAGCGCACAUAGUGACGACCUGGGGAGCAUAUUUAAAAGUCUAUUUUAAAUUUUAUAUUAUAGAUAGUUUAGUUAGUUUACGCUGGUGGCCUAGCGGUAAGAGCGUAUGCGACUUGCAAUCCGGAGGUCGCGGGUUCAAACCCCGGCUCGUACCAAUGAAUUUUUCGGAACUUAUGUACGAAAUAUCAUUUGAUAUUUACCAGUCGCUUUUCGGUGAAGGAAAACAUUGUCAGGAAACCGGACUAAUCCCAACAAGGCCUAGUUUACCCUCUGGGUUGGAAGAGCAGAUGGCAGUCGCUUUCGUAAAAAUUAGUGCCUACGCCAAAUCUUGGGAUUAGUUGUCAAGCGGACCCUAGGCUCCCAUGAGCCGUGGCAAAAUGCCGGGACAACGCGAGGAAGAAGAAGAUAGUUUAGU